rnacentral:lncRNA from 1 species
UUUUUUUUUGCAGGAUCAACCUUGAUUCCUCUUUCGUUCGCAACAUGCCUCGGCAGCUUGCUGGACAGCACUCCAUAAGUGCGCUAAUUCGAACUCAACAGUAUGAGUUAUCUCUACCUGUCAAACGACUUGAUCCAUCGGAUGCCCCUCUUCUGCUCGGGACUUUGCCAUCAUGUCAUCAACAUGGCAUUUGCUUUCAC